UACGGAGGGUGCGAGCGUUGUUCGGAUUUAUUGGGCGUAAAGCGCGCGCAGGCGGUGAUUUAAGUCUACCUGUGAAAGGCCGGGGCUCAACCCCGUGCUUGCAGGAGAUACUGGAUCGCUGGAGUCAGGUAGAGGCGAGCGGAAUUCCGGGUGUAGCGGUGGAAUGCGUAGAGAUCCGGAAGAACACCAGAGGCGAAGGCGGCUCGCUGGACCUGUACUGACGCUGAGGCGCGAAAGCGUGGGGAGCGAACAGGAUUAGAAACCGAGUAGUCC
rnacentral:rRNA from 1 species